CCUGGAUGAUCCUGCCAGUAGCAUAUGCGUGUCUCAAAGAUUAAGCCAUGCACAUUUAAGUACACAUGACCGGUAUAGUGAAACUGAAAAUGGCUCAUUAAAUCAGUUAUGGUUUCUUUGAUCGCUCCAUCUUUUACUUGGAUAACUGGUAAUUCUAGAGCUAAUACAUGCAGACCUCCCGGGAUGCGUGCAUUUAUCAGACCAAGACCAAUCUGGGCUUGCCCGGCCGCUUUGGUGACUCUAGAUAACCUCGGGCUUAUCGCAUGUCCCCGUGACAGCGACUAUGCAUUUGGAGGUCUGCCCUAUCAACUUUCGUUGGUACUUUCUGCGUCUACCAUGGUGACCACGGUAAUGGGGAAUCGGGUUUCGAUUCGCGAGAGGGACCUGCGAAACGGCUACCACAUCAAGGAAGGCAGCAGGCGCCCAAAUUACCCACUGCCGACUCUGGGAGGUAGUGAUGAAAAAUAACAAUACAGGACUCUUUCGAGGCACUGUAAUUGUAAUGAGUACACUUUAAAUCCUUGGAGGGAAAGUCUGGUCCAAGCAGCCGUGGUAAUUCCAGCUCCAAUAGCAACUAUUAUAGUUGCUGCAGUUAAAAGGCUUGUAGUUGAACCUUGGGAUCGAGCUGGCGGGCCAUCGCCUGUCACGGCCCCUGCCUCUUGGAGCCCCCUUCAUGCCCUUGACUGAGUGUCCAGGGGUGUGAAGCAUUUCCAUUGAAAAAAGUAGAGUGUUCAAACCAGGACGGUCGCCUGAAUACUUUCACUAGGAAUAAUGGAAUAGGACUCUGGUUCUAUUUUGUUUUUUUGGAAACAGGGGUCAUGAUUAAGAGGGACGGCCGGGGCAUUCGUAUUGUGCCUCUAGAGGUGAAAGUCUUGGACCGGCGCAAGACGAACCAAAGUGAAAGUGUUAGCCAAUAAUGUUUUCAUUAAUCAAAAACAAACUUCUGAGGUUCGAAGAUGAUCUGAUAUCUCGUAGUUCAACCAUACAUAAACAAUGAUGAUGAGCAAUCUGGCUGCGUUAUUCCCAUGACCUGCCGAGCCGCUUCCGGGAAACCAAAGUCUUUGGUUCUGGAGGGAGGUAGGGGGAGUAUGGUUGCAAACCUGAAACUUAAAGGAAUUGACGGAAGGGCACCACCAGGAGUGGAGCCAGCAGCUUCAUUUGACUCAACACGGGAAACCUCACCCGGCCCAGACACGGAAAAUAUUGACAGAUUGAUAGCUCUUUCUCGAUUCUGUGGGUGGUGGUGCAUUGGCCGUUCUUAGUUGGUAGACGAUUUGCCUGGUUAAUUCGGAUAACGAACGAGACUCCUCCAUGCUAACUAUUUCCAUGAAUAAGGAAUUCCCAUUAAGUGCGGGUCAUAAGUUUGCGUUGAUUAAGUCCCUACCCUUUGUACACACCGCCCAUCGCCACUACUGAUUGGAUGGUUUAGUGAGGUCCUUGAAUAAGCCCCGCCGGCAACAUCCCUGGUGGAGCAGUGAGAAGACGAUCAAACUUGACUAGAGGAAGUAAAAGUCGUAUGGGUUGGGUAAACCUGCUGGGGAUAUCCCC
rnacentral:rRNA from 1 species